UAGCCGAGUUGAGAGACUGAUCGGCCACAUUGGGACUGAGACACGGCCCAAACUCCUACGGGAGGCAGCAGUAGGGAAUCUUCCACAAUGGACGAAAGUCUGAUGGAGCAACGCCGCGUGAGUGAAGAAGGGUUUCGGCUCGUAAAGCUCUGUUGGUAGUGAAGAAAGAUAGAGGUAGUAACUGGCCUUUAUUUGACGGUAAUUACUUAGAAAGUCACGGCUAACUACGUGCCAGCAGCCGCGGUAAUACGUAGGUGGCAAGCGUUGUCCGGAUUUAUUGGGCGUAAAGCGAGUGCAGGCGGUUCAAUAAGUCUGAUGUGAAAGCCUUCGGCUCAACCGGAGAAUUGCAUCAGAAACUGUUGAACUUGAGUGCAGAAGAGGAGAGUGGAACUCCAUGUGUAGCGGUGGAAUGCGUAGAUAUAUGGAAGAACACCAGUGGCGAAGGCGGCUCUCUGGUCUGCAACUGACGCUGAGGCUCGAAAGCAUGGGUAGCGAACAGGAUUAGAUACCCUGGUAGUCCAUGCCGUAAA
rnacentral:rRNA from 1 species